AUGGACCAUAGAUACUGGAAUGUUCUGUGGUCAAAAGCUCCGGCGCCUUAGGAUGGAUCUGCGGCCUAUCAGGUAGUAGUGGGUGUAACGUACCUACUAGCCUACGACGGGUACGGGUUGUGAGAGCAAGAGCCCGGAGAUGGAUUCUGAGACAUGAAUCCAGGCCCUACGGGGCGCAGCAGGCGCGAAAACUUUACAAUGCGGGAAACCGUGAUAAGGGGACACCGAGUGCCAGCAUCAUAUGCUGGCUGUCCAGGUGUGUAAAAUACACCUGUUAGCAAGGGCCGGGCAAGACCGGUGCCAGCCGCCGCGGUAACACCGGCGGCCCGAGUGGUGAUCGUGAUUAUUGGGUCUAAAGGGUCCGUAGCCGGUUUGGUCAGUCCUCCGGGAAAUCUGAUAGCUCAACUAUUAGGCUUUCGGGGGAUACUGCCAGACUUGGAACCGGGAGAGGUAAGAGGUACUACAGGGGUAGGAGUGAAAUCUUGUAAUCCCUGUGGGACCACCUGUGGCGAAGGCGUCUUACCAGAACGGGUUCGACGGUGAGGGACGAAAGCUGGGGGCACGA
rnacentral:rRNA from 1 species